GUCCUUUAGUUAUUUAUUUAAGGUCUAACCUGCCCUAUGAUUGUUUUUAAAUGGCCGCGGUACUCUGACCGUGCAAAGGUAGCAUAAUCAUUUGUCUUUUAAUUGAAGGCUGGAAUGAAUGGUUGGACGAGAAAUAUACUUUCUUUACUAUAUUUAUUUGAAUUUAAUUUUUAAGUUAAAAAGCUUAAAUUUUUUUAUAGGACGAGAAGACCCUGUAGAACUUUAUUUAUUAUUUAUAUAAAAUAUUUUGGUUAAUAUUUGUUUUAUUUAUUUUGUAAAUUUUGUUGGGGUGACAUGAAAAUUUCUUUAACUUUUCAUUUAUUUUUAUCAUUAAUUAUUGUUUUUUUGAUCCAAUUUUAUUGAUUAUAAGGUUAAGUUACCUCAGGGAUAACAGCGUAAUUUUUUCGGAGAGUUCUUAUUGAUGAAGAAGUUUGCGA
rnacentral:rRNA from 1 species